UCUGGUUUGCAAAAAAUUAGGAAAGGAAAAGCCUCAUUAAGAGUUUGGUCCUGCAGCUGUUCUGUAUGUGGAGCAGAUUUCAUGAGGAACACCUGCUGGUGAGCAGAAUGGAGAAUAAAGCAAAUUAGAAAUUGAAGACUAGCUCUCUCAGUUAUAGGAGCUGAGCAUGGGCAGUAAAACAUCUCAAAGUAGGAGCCAAACAUCUUUAUCUGGAAAAAGAUGAGAUCCAAAUUCUGCUGACAAUCCAAAGGAAUCUGGGGGCAUAAGGGGCUGAAUAAUGCUAAGGGAAGAGGGUCCUGUAAAAUUCUUAAAGCCAGCUAAAUUAUGAAGAAAAGGGAUUGGAAUCAUACAGAGUUGCAUUUGGAUCUAUGUUCAUUCCACCAGUACUUCUUCCAUGCUGUCUGGACAAGGUCUGUUUCUCUCAAAAUGCCACUUUUUUGUGCACUGAGAAGGACCACACUGGCCAUAGUGGGUGACACUGGAUUUACAUCUCAGUAUCUUUUUCUACAAACCUGUCUGCCACCAUAAGCAUUGCAUUUAAGAAGAUUCUUAAGACUGUCAGCUGUCAAGGAUAUGCACAGGUCACCAGUUUUCCAGGUAACCUUGAUUAAAAGGUGGAAGAAGAGCAAAAUACAACAUUUCAGCAUGAUCAUCCAUCUCAGGCAACACAUGCUGAAGACUUCACGAACCCAGUAACUGCUGCACAAGGAAGUAUAAGCUGGCAACUUGCCUUUCUGAAGCAGAGUAUGAAAUCCACUUGAUAACAACAAACAUUUUACUGGAAACUUGAACUGGUUGGAAUAUUAAAUAAGAUAUCUACUUCAUUAUUUUAGCAGAACAAGCAGGAAGAGAAAAGUACCUAUCCUCCUAAGAUGUGACAUAUAUGAAAGUGAAGAUGUCAGCAUGCAUCUGGAAACUUAAGUUUCCAGAAAAAGUAACAUACAAUUUCCUCUGAACAAAAGAGGCUGGCAGAAGGCCACUGGCCAAAAGCACUUUGGAGCUCUUCACUUUUGUUGAGGGGAAAAAAAUAAACAAAGCCACAGACAUUUUAGGAAAAUGUUAGUUGAUCAGAUUUAGUAAGAAACGUCAUAAUAGCUUUCCGUCUACCUUCCUUUCCUUUUCAGUAGAUACAGGCUGACUGCUACCAGGGUGAUGCAAACAUGGAUUGAAAAUAUAUGAAUCCACCUUGAUCCAAAUGCCACAAUAAGAGUAUGCUCAAGUAUAUAAUAUGUGAAUUCAGUUAAUUAGAACCUUGGACCCUGGUUGUCACAGUGGUUGUGAACUCUGAUUUAAUAUAACCUUAAAUCAUGAUCUCAAUGAGAGAUCAGGAGUUACAGAGGAUGGUUAAUGUUUGUACCUAUGGUAUGCGCUUGUGAAAUGUUUUGACUUGGUUUAGUGUUACCAUUUCAGAGUUUCAAGGAGGAUUCAUGAGACUGAAGUGUGGCUUACGACAACACAGUGUGCCAUGGCUGAGUUGUGAAUCGUUGUCUUUAAAUAAUAACACUCUUUCAAGCUCACUGAUACUGGUGCAUGGCUUAAGGGAACACCAGGAUUACUGUGUUAGGUUUAGAAUGUGCAAUGCAGUCUUGGCAUGAAGUACUGCCUGCACUUCUAAAGAGAUCCCAAGGUGUAGCUUUACUGGGUAGUCUGUCUGUCAAGCCUGGAUCUUUGAGUUGGACACUUCUGGCCAAGCAUUUAUCUAGACCAGAACUAGACCAAGGACAUCAUCUGCCUCGAUCUUGGUGAAAAUUGCAGGGAAUGAUAAUUCCUGUAAUGUUUACAAUUCACAAAUCAAGAUCAUUGCCUUUUGAAAACUCACUGCACAAGAAAUCAACAAAAUGAAGAAUGAUCCUCCUGAAUUUGUCUUAUACACCAGGACUGUUCUUGUUUUGCCAUGUCUCUAAGCAGAGGAAUGAGGAUACCAUUCAGGACUAAGCUGUAAUGUGCAGGUUAAAAAAAAAAAGGUAAGAGAGGGCCAGAAAGAGUAGCAAGGAAGCAAAUUAUCACACCUCUGUUCUUUAAGGCUGAAAUAAAAAUGGAGAGUUAGAUCUGGGUUUCAAAAGUGCUUCACUUCACUGUUGUUAUUUUCUGUUUUGUUUUAUGGAGCCAAUCUCUUUGUUUGAAUAGAGCUUCUGGUAAUAAUAUUUGGGGAAAAAACAUGUAACCAAAACCGAAGUUACUAAUAGCUUUCUAUGGAGGGCAUUUCACUACCUGUGAUAUUUACAUGUGGAAUGAAUCGUGUCCAAAAGACUUUUAGAUUAGGAAGUUAGGACAGAGUCUCUGUACAAAUUCAUCUAUUUUUGUGAUGGUGCUGUUGUGGGCUUGGGUGCAGUUCUUGCAUUAAAUGAAGGCUCUGCUCCGUAAGCAUUUACCACUUUUCAUUCUGAUUACUUUCCGUUCAGUUUAAAUGCAAGCCAUGAAGUAAAUCCUUCUCUUUUCGGCUUUAAUCAAUAAGAAAUGCAGGGUUUCAGCUACACCUAGUGGACAAACGCCCAGUACUGCAGUCUUUCUGCAGUCAUUUGUCACGUUAAAUUGUUUCUGCUCCAUUUCAAUAUUUAAACUGUGAUUUGAACUAAAACACCUCCAAGCACAUUUCAGCCAUUUAAAUGGAGGCUUUGAAAAUUCUGUAUAAUUAUCUCUGUUUUGUUGUCUUUAAUGUAAAGUGCUUGAUUAAAUGAUCUGGCAAGAGGACGUUGUCUCAGAAGGUAAGAUUGAGGGAAGAGGAGCAGCCGUCCCACCAUGGGCGCUGCUGGCUUCCAGUGCAGUGCAGCUGGUCCCAGUCUACAAAGCAGGGCAUGAGGUGAGAUGCCUGUCACAGGCUCCUCUUGGCCUUGUAGGGUAAAGUCACACACGAGGUGAUGUGUGGGAUCAGCUGUCACCCUCCCCUGCACAGUUGCAACCGCACAAGGUCAGCAUGCAUCCCAAAGGCAAACACACCACCCCCUCAAAACGCCUUCAUAGAAUCACAGAAUCCUUAGAGUUGGAAUGGACCGAAGAGGGCCACCUUGUUCAACUCGCCUGCAAUGGUCAGGGACACCACAGCUAGAUCAGGUUUCUUUCAAUGACUUGGUUUUGCCCUGAUUAAACCUAGGUGAGAAGAAGAGAAAACAUGGAGUCUGUGAUAACUCCUGGCCACUAGAGAACUACGCUACAACGUGAGUCCAAAUUACUGGAUUAUGGAGCUUUUAAAAAUGGAGAAGUUGGCUUGAAGGAGGCUCCAAGUCUGUGUUUUGGCUAAAGCAGCUUAUAAAAUGGUGCUGGACUGGGAAUGGGAUUGUUCCCCUGAUACCUAAUCCCUAAAACUUUCUUUGUGGUGACUGUAACUUUUUUUUUAAAAUUAUUUUUUCCUACCACUUAGAAAUGUGUAUACUCAUCUCCACACCAUGCACAUGCCUUGUCCUUCACCUCCUUGCUGGAUCACGCAAUUGCCUUAGUGCAGCCUGCAGAUCAGCAGCUCAGCACCCUACCUAAGAGCAACCCAAAUUAUCACUAGUUAGCUUCUGUAAAAAAUAGAUGUGUGCAGAGGUUCGGUGCAAUGAUUUGUCUUUGGAAAAUUCCAGGAAUCCACUCCUGCCUUCAAAAUACAUACAUUACUUUAUUCAAAGCUGAUGGAGGACGUGUUUGUAGACAGAGAUAAUAUUGAUUACUAGACUAAAUAAUGCUGCUGAAGAAAAAACAUUUUGAGUUGCAAGCCUUUAAGUACUUAUUCUGGUAAAGAGAGUGAGAAAUCUGAAAUCCUCUGUGUUACUUCUGUUUAAAUAGCAGCAGAUAAGACGUUGUAAAGACUUUCAACAACUCCACCCUCUCCCCGACAGUGUACUCAUGUUUGCUAAGCAGGCUGUGGUAUCACAUGCACAGAGCAAUUGUUAGGAGGCUCAAUGUCAGAACUGCAGAUAAGUAGGUACAGCUCCAGGAUCUCCUUGAGGAGCAUCUGCUAAAUAUUUAGCUUCUGUGAUCAAGAGGUGCUUUGUACUUGCUCUAUUGUCUUCAACGAGAGUUUUUAGGAGCUUAACAGUUCUGAAAGUUUAUUUUAUUUUACUUUAUUCUUGAUAAAAUAGGGAGUAUAUUGCCAGAUGAACAUUGCAAUAAACCAAAAUAACAAAAUGUCCUGCUGAAAGAAAAAGGUUAGAGAAGUGAUCAGCUGGAAAAAACUUUACUUGUUUUAAGUAUUCUAAAGAUGUGUCUGGAAAAGUCUGCUUCAGGUUUGUGAUCGGAUUGCCCCUGUGUAAUUUUUUAAGAGGGGGAGGGCACAGCAGAUGGACUGGGACUGAAAUACCUGAUCCUUCUCUAUUAAAAACCUGCUGCUACAAAUUUCCUUCUAAAAUGAGGCAAAUAACAGAGAACCUACCAUAAUAGUGGCUCAUCUGUUCAGUCAUUUGAUGUAUCUCAUUAUUGUUGCAGU